rnacentral:rRNA from 1 species
AACGCUAGCUACAGGCUUAACACAUGCAAGUCGAGGGGCAGCAUGGUCUUAGCUUGCUAAGGCCGAUGGCGACCGGCGCACGGGUGAGUAACACGUAUCCAACCUGCCGUCUACUCUUGGACAGCCUUCUGAAAGGAAGAUUAAUACAAGAUGGCAUCAUGAGUCCGCAUGUUCACAUGAUUAAAGGUAUUCCGGUAGACGAUGGGGAUGCGUUCCAUUAGAUAGUAGGCGGGGUAACGGCCCACCUAGUCUUCGAUGGAUAGGGGUUCUGAGAGGAAGGUCCCCCACAUUGGAACUGAGACACGGUCCAAACUCCUACGGGAGGCAGCAGUGAGGAAUAUUGGUCAAUGGGCGCAGGCCUGAACCAGCCAAGUAGCGUGAAGGAUGACUGCCCUAUGGGUUGUAAACUUCUUUUAUAAAGGAAUAAAGUCGGGUAUGGAUACCCGUUUGCAUGUACUUUAUGAAUAAGGAUCGGCUAACUCCGUGCCAGCAGCCGCGGUAAUACGGAGGAUCCGAGCGUUAUCCGGAUUUAUUGGGUUUAAAGGGAGCGUAGAUGGAUGUUUAAGUCAGUUGUGAAAGUUUGCGGCUCAACCGUAAAAUUGCAGUUGAUACUGGAUAUCUUGAGUGCAGUUGAGGCAGGCGGAAUUCGUGGUGUAGCGGUGAAAUGCUUAGAUAUCACGAAGAACUCCGAUUGCGAAGGCAGCCUGCUAAGCUGCAACUGACAUUGAGGCUCGAAAGUGUGGGUAUCAAACAGGAUUAGAUACCCUGGUAGUCCACACGGUAAACGAUGAAUACUCGCUGUUUGCGAUAUACUGCAAGCGGCCAAGCGAAAGCGUUAAGUAUUCCACCUGGGGAGUACGCCGGCAACGGUGAAACUCAAAGGAAUUGACGGGGGCCCGCACAAGCGGAGGAACAUGUGGUUUAAUUCGAUGAUACGCGAGGAACCUUACCCGGGCUUAAAUUGCAGAUGAAUUACGGUGAAAGCCGUAAGCCGCAAGGCAUCUGUGAAGGUGCUGCAUGGUUGUCGUCAGCUCGUGCCGUGAGGUGUCGGCUUAAGUGCCAUAACGAGCGCAACCCUUGUUGUCAGUUACUAACAGGUUCCGCUGAGGACUCUGACAAGACUGCCAUCGUAAGAUGUGAGGAAGGUGGGGAUGACGUCAAAUCAGCACGGCCCUUACGUCCGGGGCUACACACGUGUUACAAUGGGGGGUACAGAGGGCCGCUACCACGCGAGUGGAUGCCAAUCCCAAAAACCUCUCUCAGUUCGGACUGGAGUCUGCAACCCGACUCCACGAAGCUGGAUUCGCUAGUAAUCGCGCAUCAGCCACGGCGCGGUGAAUACGUUCCCGGGCCUUGUACACACCGCCCGUCAAGCCAUGGGAGCCGGGGGUACCUGAAGUGCGUAACCGCGAGGAGCGCCCUAGGGUAAAACUGGUGACUGGG